GCGGGCCCAAGAUAAUACUAACGGCGUAAAGCACGACUAAAAGUAAGUCACAUGCCUAGGAAAAGAAGCAAAGCUGGGCUGUAAAAAGCCAUAAGCCACAAUAAUCACACCUAGCACAAACCACAUUCCACUCGUGAAAGUUGGGACACAAACUAAGAUUAGAUACCUUAUUAUGCCCAACCGUAACACAACAAUCAAAUUACUAAUUGUUCGCCAAAUAACUACGAGUAAAAACUUAAAAUUUAAAAGACUUGACGGUACCCCAAAAUCAACCUAGAGGAGCCUGUCCAAUAACCGAUACCCCACGAUCAACCCAACCACCCCUAGCCCAACAGUCUAUAUACCGCCGUCGCCAGCCUACCUUAUGAAAGAAACAAAGUAAGCCAAAUAGCCACCCCCUAGUACGACAGGUCGAGGUGUAACUUAUGGGGUGGACCAGAGAUGGGCUACAUUUUCUAACACAGAAAAUACGGAUAAACCAUGAAAAAAGAAACUGAAGGAGGAUUUAGUAGUAUGCUGGGAACAAAAUACCCGGUCGAAACCAACGCAAUGGGGUGCGUACACACCGCCCGUCAUCCCUGUUAACAAACCAAACAUAUCCAUAAACACAAAACAAUCCUAAAG
rnacentral:rRNA from 1 species